rnacentral:rRNA from 1 species
GACGAACGCUGGCGGCGUGCUUAACACAUGCAAGUCGAACGGAAAGGCCCUGCUUUUGUGGGGUGCUCGAGUGGCGAACGGGUGAGUAACACGUGAGUAACCUGCCCUUGACUUUGGGAUAACUUCAGGAAACUGGGGCUAAUACCGGAUAGGAGCUCCUGCUGCAUGGUGGGGGUUGGAAAGUUUCGGCGGUUGGGGAUGGACUCGCGGCUUAUCAGCUUGUUGGUGGGGUAGUGGCUUACCAAGGCUUUGACGGGUAGCCGGCCUGAGAGGGUGACCGGCCACAUUGGGACUGAGAUACGGCCCAGACUACUACGGGAGGCAGCAGUGGGGAAUAUUGCACAAUGGGCGGAAGCCUGAUGCAGCAACGCAGCGUGCGGGAUGACGGCCUUCGGGUUGUAAACCGAUUUCGCCUGUGACGAAGCGUGAGUGACGGUAAUGGGUAAAGAAGCACCGGCUAACUACGUG